rnacentral:rRNA from 1 species
UACGUAGGGGGCAAGCGUUAUCCGGAUUUACUGGGUGUAAAGGGAGCGUAGACGGCUAAUCAAGUCAGAAGUGAAAUCCAUGGGCUUAACCCAUGAACUGCUUUUGAAACUGCUAAGCUUGAGUGGAGUAGAGGUAGGCGGAAUUCCCGGUGUAGCGGUGAAAUGCGUAGAUAUUAGGAAGAACACCAGUGGCGAAGGCGGAUGACUGGACGACAACUGACGGUGAGGCGCGAAAGCGUGGGGAGCAAACAGG